rnacentral:tRNA from 1 species
GCCCUUGCGGCUGGUGCAUGAGGGUGGUCUGCAGCGUCCCUGGAAGGGGCCAGGUCCAGUGGAAGGCUG